ensembl:rRNA 5S_rRNA 5S ribosomal RNA
GUCUAUGGCCAUACCAUGCUGAAUGCAGUGGAUCUCAUCUGAUCUUGGAAUCUAAGCAGGGUCGGGCCUGGUUAAUACUUGGAUGGGGGAAAUCAGUUUUCAUAAAUU